UUUCCCUUCCUUUAGGGAAGGCCCCUGCCCAGCCACGGGCGUACCAUUUGUCUUGCUAAGAACCAAGGGGAUGCCCCUUGUUUUGUCUGUUCACUGGGGAAUUAUUCAAGAGCUGUGCUAUUGAUGUGGCCUUGGGAGUGGUGGGAAGGGAUUGCAUGUGAUAACCAGAAUGAAGUGAAAAGCGUUAAUUAGUGUAAUUAUUUGGUGGAGCAGAACUCUUUUGUCAGAACAAGCUGAGUUCAUUGGGAAGAUAACUCUGUUUGCAUUGUUUUGCUUUUAUUUAUAGGAUCAGAGACAGGCACUGGGCACUGGGAACAUCCCUGGUGCUGUGAGGCCAACUUCCCCACUGUGAUGUCAAUGGGGAAAUAAGAGAAAACAGGCAUUGGCGUUGCCAUAGUGACUCUGAGGUUGGACUUCUGGAAAAGGAAAAGACUUCUUCACUUGUGCAGAGAGGCAUGGAUGACCUCACAUGUGCUGUGUGGGGCAUUUGGAGACCACUUCUGUGCUGAAUUGUAGGACACAGGACCCACAAAGGUGCACUGCCCUUGCACAUGGGCCUCAUGAUGUAAAAGAAGGAAUCACUGAGCUUCUUCAUGAGCAAGCAAACAAAACCAGUCCCUGCCCUGGCCCAUGGCUGAACCCAAAUACAUUCACAUUUCCCCACAAAACCCCCUGUGAUCUCAACCGGGCUAUCUGACACUGGGUCCCCAGCAUCACAGACUGCACAGUGCCCUCAGGAAUGCCCACCUCAUAUCUCCUCUGCUUUCUCUCUUCCUCCUGCUCUUACCAAUAAUUAUGACUGAGGAUGUGACAAAGCCAUCAUUGCCCAGCCCUCCAAGGACAACACGAGGGAAAUGCUGUACAAACUCACCGGAGGUAACCAGUCUGAACAGUAUUCCUCUGACUUCUUACAUGAUGCUACUGCUAUGUUAUGCAGGAGAGAACCAUCGUUUAGUUCAGCUAAGGCAGCUUUUUGACAGACCAACCUGCUCUGUAGAUAAUGAACCUUUCCAGUCAUCCAUGAUUUAUUAUGAAAACAAAAUGCUGGAUAACAUACUGGAGAAAAUCAGAAGGAAGACUUGCAGAGUGUUUGUAUUUCCAUGGUAUACAAGGGAACCCGAGGCCAAUGAGGUUAAAUAAAUGCUCAGAGUCAGUGGGGCACCGGGCAAAAGAGGAAACCCAGGGCCUGCACGCCCCUAGAGCAGUAGCAGCAAGUGCUGUCGGAUGGAUAACCUGGGUUAGACUGAUUUCUAAAGGAUCUUUUCAACAAAAAUCUUCUGUCAGGAAGCAAAUGUCAGGCAGCCCCCCCUGCUAGCUUCCUAAGCUUUCACACUGCUAGAGAGGAAUUGCUCUCUUUGACAAAGCUUUCAAAUCCAUUCAGGCUGAGUCCGCUUUCCCUUCUGGAUUUCAGUUAUUAACCACUAUUUUUUUAGCUCUGGUGCAUCCAACCACCAUAUGUUCUUUAAAUAAAGCCACUUUCCACUUCUUUCUUUCGUGCUUUGAGGUAAAUAGAAUUGCUGGAAAUGUAGACACGCAGAAGGGUGCCCCUCCUUUGGGAAGUGCGGGAUUUCUAGGUAAAUCUUCAGCACAGAGUACCGCUCACGCAGUUCUGCUGAAGUGCAUGAUGUACUGUGGAGUGUCUUUAUAUACCAUUUACUUGCAGGCGUGUAAUGAAAUAUCUCUUCUUUGUCCCAGCCUGGUUCCAAUUGUGUCACAAAGACAUAAAAGAAUUCUGAUAAUUCACACCCAUCUCUUAUCUGGCACAACAGCAAGGUCGUAUUUUUAAUUUUGAAUGGGAUGACUAAAGGUGCUUCAUUAGCCAAAAGGCAGAGCUGUUAUAUGGCCUGGAGAAACUGAAAUGGGAUGGAACACUCCUACAGCAUGAAAUAAGCAUUUAUAAAGCUAUCAUAACCAAACACAGCUCCUGUCUGCUUCUUCCAGCUUCAGCUGGCAAGAACUGGCUGCCAUAAUGGGGGUGUUUUAAAAGUGAGAAGAAAAAAAUCUCAUUUUUCAGUUCCUCUUGGCUCAGGUACCAAUGAGCCAUCCCAGAAUGGGCUGCUCAGAGAGGUCAUGGAGUCUCCUUCUCUAGAUAUAUUCAAAGCCCACCUGGAUGCUUUUCUUUGUAACCUACAGUGGGUAACCUGCCUUGCACAGGGUUGCACUGCAGGAUCUCCAGAGGUCCCUUCCAAUUCCUGUCAUUCUAUGGGGAAAAAUGAGCCUUGAAAACACAAUUUCUGACUGCUUAAUGCUGUGGCACUGUCUCAGUUCUGUUCCAAAGCCUUUGGUCACCAUUCUGGAGAGAACUGGGACUACGUGAGAGGAAGACUGGCACAAAAGGCAGAAAGCUGCUGCUUUUGUGGCCUAGCUUUCCACUAUUUACCAAUCAAAAGGGCAGAAAUCAAUGGAGUGGUGCACCCGAGCACUUGACUGAGACUGCAUUUAUAGGGUCUCUCUGGGUGUUCUCAAUAACAUUGAGACCACUGAAACUCAGCAGCUGCAGCCCUGUGCUAACAGUCUGCACCCAGAAACAGUGCAUGUUAAGAAGCCCAGCCCUGCUGAAGCUUUUGAUACCGCUGUUGCACUUGACAACUCAGACACUGAAGUGGUGCAGGAAAUGUCUCUGCCAGGCUCGCUAAUGCACAAACUGCCUCCUUGCACUUAGAGAAAUGCCUCUUGCAAGCACAUACUGUGCAAACACGUCAGUGUUUAUUAACUCAGGGCCUAAGAUGUGCAGCAGCCUCAGCCUACUCCGACAGCAAGGAAGAUGAUGUUCCACCCCCUGCAGGGUCAGCUCUUAGCCUGUAAAUCAAGCUAUGUUCUCAUUCCUCGUCAAGUAAAUUUCCUUUCUCUGGCAAUUGCAUGCCCUUGGAGUGGUGCCAGCCUUAUCUGAAUGUGCCUCGUCCCCUGGGAAAUUUCCUUGAGUAUUUUCUCUCACGGGAAUGGGAAAGCUUGGAAUGAUGACACACUGUAUUCAUACAAAUACCAUACAACAAACAGCAAACCAUGCACCAAUCCAGGGAAGAGCCCCACCAUGCAGCAGGUGGGAAAUGGUUGGAAUAGCAGUAGCUCUGAGAGAGCCUACAGCCAGAUGUUUCUGGUGCUCAGCAUCUUCUUGUAUAAUAUCAACUGGCACAGGUUGCCCUGAGAGGUGGUGGAUGAGCCAUCCCUGGAGACACCUAAGGUCAGGCUGGACAGGGCUCUGAGCACCUGGUGAAGCUGUAGUUGUCCUCGUUCACUGCAGGACUAGAUGGCCUCUAAGAAUCCCUUUCAACUCAAACGACUCUGUGAUUGUAUGAUGCUAUGAUUGUAUUAGUUGCUCAGUGUUCUGAAGAUUAAAAGAUACAGCUAGGAAGUUAGGAAGAAACAUAGAAAUAAGCCAACAAUCCAGGGGCAAGCAAAUUAUCUCAUCAAGCCACCAAAGUAUUUCAGUUGAAGUACAGACACUCACUGCAGUAAGGAUCUCAGUUUGGACUGGAAUUUCACAGAUGGUUUUUGUAUCUUUGGUCUUGUACCACACAUGAGCCCCAAAUGAUCCAGGCUUUGGGGAACCUCAGAGAAGAUGUUCCGAAUCUCAGCCCUCAGUGAAAUAUGCCACUGUAUGAGCAGUGGAAGUUUCCCAUGGGUUUGGAUUCUGCAUCUCCACAUUCUGCUCCUAGCUCUCCCAUUCCCUUCUGCCUGGCCAGGAGAGUGGCAGCAUCUUCUGUGCUGUGUUGAAGUUACACCUGGGCUGGCUGGCCAGCAGUUCUUGCUGGCUGGCCAGCAGUUCUUGCUUCUUUUUACACAUAAGAAACUGAAAGCCGUAUUCCGCUUUGUGAGGCUGCCCUGGGAACAUGGAAGAUAAUAGCUGCAUAUGUCUGUAGGAUGAUGUAUCUGGGGGAUAUCUGUGUCUGUCAAGCAGAAUUGAAAGCAAUCAUUGGGGUAAAAUUAUUCUUAUCAGGUCACUGAGACAAGGUGACUGCAAAGGUGUUGGUUUUCCUGGAAUGCUAUGGUAUUAUAGAAAUCAACUGGACCAGCUUACCCCCUUUUUAGUGCUUUAACAAGUAUAUUAUGCAUCCAAGACCUUCACUCUGGACACAGGAUGUGACUACUGAAUAGCAUUGGUUGUUCACAUUACCCUUCUGACAGAAGCAGAAGCAGCAAAACUUUGUUUGGAAGCUUUGCCCUAUACUGUCACGUAGCCAAGCAUCACGAUUUGGUGCUAGAUGAUGUCUGCACACUGUCUGGGGUGUGAAGAAGACAGGCUCAUGGGCUUUUGCUGGAGUUCUUUUCCAUGGCUCCACUCAGACUGGGGAUGGAAAUAAGGACUGGCCCACUGUGGAAGAGCUGGGGAAGGGAGAGGCAGAAAACAAGAACCUGAAACAGCCCAUGACCAUUGACUUCUGCCAGUCUGAGGUUGGAACAUAUUCCAAGUGCAUAUAGGGUCAUGGGUUUCCUGAAGGCAGCAGCAGGUAUCGCUCCUGGCAUGACUGUCCCUGCCUGCCUGGCCUCACACCAUUGACAGUGCCAUUCCCAUCGGCCAGGCAAUGCCAUGUCCAGCAAAGUCCAAGCUGCAGGAGUUGCUGACACCUUAACAAGGAGGGUAAUUUUCUUCCCAGUUAAUCUUUUCCAAAGAAUCAUAGAAUGGGUUGGGUUGGAAGGCACCCCAAGGGUCACCAAGUUCCAACCCCUUGCCAUAGGCAGGGCCACCAACUUCCAGAUCUUGUACUAGACCUGGCUGCCUGGGGCCCCAUCCAUGACAAUAUCUUCUCUGUUACCCACUAUUUUUAAGGCUAUCGAGAGAGCAUUUGGAACUAAUUUGGGGAUAUCUUGAUAACAAAUGAGAUGUUAAGAAGACAGUCAGAAAAACUGGGCUUUCCUAGGAAUAAAUCCUAUGACCAUAGCAUCCUAAGGCCUAAGUUCUCCACCUCCUUUUG